CCCUAUGAAAAGUUAAUAAUUUAAUCUAAGUUUUUUUUAUAAUACACAACUUUAGCCCGGGCCCAUGCAGAUUAAAUAAACAAAAAAAUAAAACCAAAUAAAAUAAAAUUCAGUCCAUUGUCCAUUUACACCCAAAAUAAACCCAAGAUCUUAGCCCAAUUACAUAAAUAAUUAAAACCCAAAUAACCUAAACCCUAGCCCAACAAGCAGCCCAAUACACCCAACAUUUUCAGCAGAGAGAAAAACAAAAAACCCUAGGUAGCCGCAAGCCUAACAGCAACCAAGUGCGCUGUCGUCGCCGCCAUUUACGCGCCACACCUCCACGUUGACUGGCCACGUACCUGCAAUUCAGCAAACAAGGAAGCAAGCAGCAAAAAGAAAGGGACUAAUAGCGAAAUGGAAGGAAAGAAAUAUUAUUAUUAUUUUUUAUAUAUCUAUUUUCCUUUUCGUUUUGGCUAUAAAAAGCCAAUUAAAAUCUAUAAUAGGGGGAAGACGCACAUAUUGUUUUAAGAAAUUACAAAAAGAAAAUGAAAAGGAAAGACUGAGUUUUUUUGUUGGAGGUGAUUUUUUAAAAGUUUUUCUUUUUUUUUCUGUUGUUCUGUUCUUUUUUUAUAUAAGUAUGAAACAAAAUAAAAAGGAGGGUGAUUUAGUUUCUUUUUCAUGUUUUCUUCUUUCUAUUUCGAUCUCUAUUUCAUGUCUUUGAAAUAAUAGUAAAAGAGGGGAGGAGUUGUUUACCUUUUGAUCGGCGGCGUCGUUGUGCUGUGUGGGAGAUGUUUGUAAACGGCGCAGAGAAAGGAAAGGAGCUAUUAAGUUUUUUCUCCUUUGCUUUCUAAUGGCCGAAUGAUUAGGGUUUUUUUAGAUUUAUGAUAAUUUUUGAAACAACACUGUUUGGACUUUAUGCCAAGGCUCAAUGGCUUAUUUUCACUUUUGGUCUUCCUGUUUUACAAUGUUUUUAAAUUACUUUUUUUAUUUCUUGUAAAUUUCGCAACGCAUUUUAUUAUUGUUUCAAUUUAGUCCAAUACUGUGCAGUGUUUUGGGAGGCUUGGGUAAAUUGCUCCUUCGUUCCUCCUCCUGUUGCGCGUGUUUUAAAUUGCUCUCUUUCUUGUUUUAUUUUUGAAUUCAUCCUUUAAAUUCUGUUUGUUUUCAACUUAAUCCUUAAUUUGUUAUUUUAAGUUUUUUUUUAUUAUAUUAUUAAUACUGUUUAUUAGUAUUAUUAUUACUAUAUUAUUAUUAGUUUUUUUAUUUAUUAUAUCAUAUAUUAUUAUACCUACAUAUAUAUAUAUGUGCAUAUGUAUGUUAAUAUAUAUAUGUUUAUUUUAAACGUUUUUAAAUACAUAUGCAUAUUAUGUAUAUAUUUUAUUAUUAUUUUAUUUUCAUAGUUUUUAUAUAUUUUAUAUACAUUUAUAUUUUAUAAUAUUUAUAUUUUCAUAUUUUAUAAUUUAUAUAUGUUUAUACAUUCUUUGUAAUAUAUAUAUGUACUUUUUAGAAUUAUCAUAAGUUUUUUGUUAUUAUUUUGUUUUGAUAUAUUUCAUGUUUUUAUAUAUGUAUACUUAUAUAUAUGCCUGUUUUAAUAUAUGCAUAUACAUGUUUUCAAAAUUUAUUUAUGUAUUAUACUUAUAUUUUGAAAAUACAUAUGUACAUAUAAUUUAAAUUAAAGUAUUUGUUACAUAUCGUAUUAACAUUUUUUUAACAUAUCUUUUAGAAAAUACAUAUUUUGGUUUUGGUAAAACAUUAAAAACAUUUUCUUUUGAUUCAAAGACUUUUAAAAUAAAAGCGAAAUUCAAAGUUCGGAAUUUUCGAGGAAAUUGAGCCCUAACGUAUUGGGUUCCGAUUUUUUUUGUUAAUCCUAAAUAACCGAGAAUAUUCUUUAUUUUACAUAAGUAUAAAAUCAUUUUCGGGAACUUAACUUAUUGCGUCCUAAUGUAUUGGGUGUAACAUAUUGCGUUCUCGAAAUGAAGAUUUUCUUAUAAAAUAAAAGCGAUAUUCAAAGUUCGGGGAUUUUGAGACAUUGUACCCUUCUUCGCAUGACUUGAACAUUUGAUUAUCCUUUUCAGAUUUCAUUAUUGGAGUUUUUUUUUUUAAAUCUUUUUAACCCUCGACACUAAGACGUUAAAUAAUUAAUUUGGUACCGAUUUUUGGACAUUACGAGGGUGCUAACCCUUCCUCGUGCGUAACUGACUUCCGAACUCGUUUUCUCAAAUUUCAUAGACCAGAAUAAUUUUUAAGGUGAGUCGAUCACACCUCAAUAAAGGAUCGGUGGCGGCUCUAAUUUUUGUUUUUUAAAGUCGAUAACUAAAGUUUUGUUUUCAAAAAAUAGUUUCAACAGCUUGACGACUCCGUUGGGGAAAAACACGAGAGUCGAGCCAAAAAUUGAUUAAUUUUUGUCUUAAUGUCGAAACUUUUUUGAGAUCCUUUUGCAUUCAUUAUUUUCUUGCUUAAUUGAUCUUUGCAUUAUACAUUGCAUGAGUUGAAUGAUUUUACCCCUCUAAGUGGGAGUGAGAAACUAGUCUUUCGUGAGGUUUUCACCUCCGUGCAGGAUAGUGGAUUGCUUUCGAGAUACAUUCGUACCUAUGUCUUCGUGAGAUUUUCAUUUCCGUGUAGCUAUAGGGAAGUGUAUCCCCCUGAACUGAACUCGAUCUGUAUGAGCCUAUAAUGGGUGAGGAUCAAGGAAUCUGCUGGUUCAGGUACCCUUACUUCAGAACCGAACCACAUAUAGAAGACCUUAGGAGCACACCCUAGGUAGAGCCACUUCAAAACCCUAGUGAUCACCCGAAUAGACGUUCUAUUUAUUCUUGCUUGCUUUUGCUUUGUACUAACCUGUUUCUUUUUUGUUAUAAUUGCAUUACAUUUUCAUCAUAAAAAAGUGGUGUUGAUUCACGUUCAGUUGCGAAAUAGAGAGCUUGUCAUAAGAAAAUGAGUUUCUUGAUAAAAUGGAAGACAAUAUGGUUGUCCGAAUAUGGUCCAAGAAAACGUGAUAAGAGAAGGAUGAUAGUUUAAUGGAGGACUACACGACUAUGGAUUCAAGAUGAAAAAGAUUAUUCGAGAGCCGCUGAACUUUCUUAAAGAGAAGCCAACGAGCAUCACGAGGAUGAGUGAGCAACGAGUUGCGGCCCGGAUCGAGCAAAAAGGAGAUAGAAGAGACAUCUUUUUGAAGAGUUCGUGAGAUUUAUCUUAACGCUCGAAGAAGAGGAUCGAAUGUCUCCGCCUAUGAGGGCAAGGCCGUAUAAAUAUCCAUUUUAUGUAAAGAGAUUUGUUUUCUAGUAAAGUUUUCUAAAUGGAAUUGAAUCAGAAUCAACGUCUCUUUAUGCAUUCAUUACAUGCAUUCGCAUUACAUGACAUUAUACGUAUUAAAGUCCACUAAAAGAGCCUAAUCGAUUAAAAUCAUUCCUCAGUUAACCUGGAAACCAACCAAUAAACUAAACACCGUUACGGUACUCGGGCGAAAUCAAGAAGUAUGGACCAAAGAUUAGAAAAGCUCGAACAAUUCCAAACAUAAAUGCAGGAUCAGCUUCAGCAGCAAAUGAAUGAGCAGCUCGAGAAGAUUCAGCAGAAUUUGAAGGAAAAAAUGAUGGAAUCUCAAGGGAAUAUGAUGGCUAAGUUGACUCAGUUGCUGACCGGAGAAAUUGAUAAAGGAAAAAACUCUGUGCUUAAUGUUGAAGAAGGAGACAGUGAGGGACCUGUCUAUCCUCCAGGCUUUACCCCUCAGCAAGUUGAGGAAUGUCCGCGUAAAUCCUCUGUCACCAUUAGGCCGCAGCAAUUUCAAGCUAGUGCUUCAAUGCCAAUGAAUUUUCAAGUUGGAUCAGGCUCUAAUCCGAGAGACAACCUUUCAAUACGGCUAUUCCUGACUUCGAUGAAACAGCGGGAAAAGAAAAAGUGAAGGAUGAGUUGCCAAAACAGCUAGAGGAAAAGUACAAAUGGCUGGAAGAGAAAUUUAAAACGAUGGAAUGUGCUGAGAGCUACUAUAGGAUUGAUGCUGAAGAAUUAAGCUUGGUUCCGGAUUUAGUACUCCCUUACAAGUUCAAAGUGCCAUAGUUUGAGAAGUAUAAUGGAACUAGUAGUCCCGAAGCCCAUAUUACUAUGUUUUGUAGGCGGAUAACUGGGUAUGUUAGUAAUGACCAGUUGUUGAUACAUUGUUUCCAGGAUAGCCUCACAGGGGCAGUGUCCAAGUGGUACAAUCAAUUAAGUCGUGCCAAGAUUAAUUCAUGGAAAGAUUUAGCACAGGCAUUCAUAAAGCAGUACAAUCAUGUAACUGACAUGGUACCUGAUAAAAUCACUCUACAAAACAUGGAAAAGAAGUCCGGUGAAAGUUUUAGGCAAUACGCACAGAGGUGGAGGGAGGUCGCCAUCCAAGUUCAGCCACCGCUCCUGGAAAGGGAAAUGACAAUGCUAUUCAUAAAUACAUUGAAAGCUCCGUUCAUCACAUAUAUGUUAGGGAGUGCCACAAAAAUAUUUUCUAACAUAAUCAUGAAUGGUGAAAUGAUUGAAAGCGCCAUAAGGAGCGGAAAGAUUGAUGCUGGAGGAAAUAAUAGAAGGCAAGCCUCAAAAGAAAAAGAAAAUGAUGUGAACAGCGUGAAUAUGUACAGUAAAUCGAUUGCUAAUCAGUAGGGUUCAUCAAGACAAGAAUCAUGUGUGAAGCAAGGUACUGAAAAACUCCAGUUCACGCUAAUUCCAAUGUCGUACAAAGAGCUGUAUCAAAGCUUAUUCGAUGUGCAUGUUGUUUCUCCUUUACAUGUGAAGCCUCCACAGCCUCCGUAUCCCAAAUGGUACAACGCAACUGCACAAUGCGAUUAUUAUGCGGGAAUUACAGGACACUCAAUAGAGAAUUGCAUUACCUUCAAAAAGUUAGUUGAAAAAUUCAUCAACAUGGGUAUUGUCAAGUUGGAUGGCUCAUUUAAUGCAGAAAAUUCGCUACCCAAUCAUGAUUGACAAUGGAGUGAAUGCAAUAUAUGAGGAGAUAUUGGGAAGUGUUCACAUCAAUGACAUAUAGGGAGACACAAAUGAAAGGGGGACCUUGUUAGAUAUCCGCCCUUAUAAAUCUGGGAGUGUUCUAAGUAAUUGAACUGCGGAAGAAAUCCCUAUAAUUUUUAGAGCUUAUUUAGAGUAAUGUUCAGAACAUUUUUGUUGUUUUUAGCCUAAAAAUGAUAGAAAUUCCUUUGUGAAAUAGGCUCAUGUCUGAACGUCGUUAUUCUAAUAAAAUACAUCUUUGCAUUCAUUUUUGAGCCAAUAUUUUUUCAUUCUUUUUGAAAUAAUUAUUUUUUCAUUCUUUUGGAUUUUCUUCCAUGUCAUUAUUUCAUUUAUAAUUAUAUUGUACAAAUAGUUAUUCAUAAAUACAUUCUUUUGUAUAUUCUUUUAUAUUGGGUCUCCAGAUAUCAAUAACAUGAGUGACGCUGCUACAGGCUCAGAAUUUUCUUUUGAGCGAAGCAUGUGUUUAGAGGGAUUUCAUGACUUUGAAGAUAACAUAGAUUGUAGCCUAUUUUCGGACUUGUUAAAGAUGGUAGAACAAGUCGAGAAACGGAUCUUACCCUACAAAGAAUCAUUGGGAUACAUGACUUCUCAUUAUAUAGGGCAUGAAGGUUAUUUGGUCGAUCUUGUCAAAAGAGUCUGACGGCCAUUGAUUCAUCUUUGUGAUCGUCAGUUACUUUACUAAAUAAAUAGAAGCUGCUUCAUAUGCCAAUGUCACAAAGUCGACAGUUAACAAAUUCGUGAAAAAUCAUAUGUCAGUAUGGGACGCCAAAAGGAUUAUAUCUGACAAUGUACUAAAUUUGAACAACAGCAUAAUAUCAAAAGUUUGCAGUUUGUUCACGAUUAAUGCCAUAUUGCCUAAAAAAAUAUGGCGCGAAAAAAAAAACUCUGCCAGGGUAAUGCCUUUCUCUUGGGCCCAUCGCGGUUUUGCCUAUUGAAGACAAAAUUCUUUCUGAGUUUUUGAAUCCAAUUCCGAUUGAAGAGGAAUGUUCAAAGUUGUCCAUCAUGGUCAAAUGAGCCAAAAGCAAAUGAUGCAAGUUCACAAAAAAGAUCCAUCCUAGAGAAUUCCUUGAGAGGAACCUGGUAUUGAAAAAGAUCCUUCCCAUACAAAAAGAACUUCAUCCCAAGCUGGGAAGGACCUUAUGUGGAAGGCCUUAUUUAGAAAAGCGUCGAUUUUGAUCAAAAAGGAUAACAAGGACAUGCAUAAUCCUAUGAGUUCAGAUUCAAUCAAAAAUAUUUCAAAAUAUAAAAAAAAACAAAAAAAAAUAGAGAGAAAAGAAGAAAGAAAAUGGAGAGGCCAAGAUGAAAACCCGCAAAGGGCGCCUUGAAACCAAAGGGGAUUUGAGUUGAAAACCCGAAAAGGGCAGCUCAAAUAUUGAUUAGAAUGGGGCAUGAGAUGAUCAGAGCAGUUCAAAUUUUGAUCAGAUUGGGGCAUAUGAUGAUCUUGAAUCAAUAAGAAAGGGUAAACAACAUCUUAGGACAUCGACAGAGUACUGUAGAUCUCCUAAACACAUGUCAAACUCAGAAAGUUUGUAUAAAGAAGUUCAAGCUGCGAUAUCUGGAGCAUCCAAUUUUUAUAUUGAAUUUGCUAUUCUUGGAAUAAUUCAUGCUUUUCCAAUAUACACAUUCCCAAUCAAUUUCUUUGUUAUCCUUAUUUACUAUUUUUUUGAUAAUCUAUUCCUUUCGAGCUAUGCUCAGAACCAAUUGUAUUCUCAUCCAUUGUUAUACCCUUUUUGUAAGUAUGUUGCAUUGGAAUAAUGAUUAAUAGACUAAUAAAACUUUCACAAGGGAAGUUUGGCAUAUUACUCUAGAAGUUUCUAAAUAAUACAGGAACCUGAAACAGAAUUAUUGUUUAGAACGCACCAUGUUUAAAGGUUGGAAAUCUGAAAAAGAAGAGUCUAAAUUAAGACUUUCUCUUUGGAUUUUGUUGUUAAAAACAUUGACUGAACAAAAUGACAAAGCUUAAAUAAACAACUAAGCAAUGAUCACCCUGACAUUGCAGUGGAGUAGAUUGAAGCACCAGUUCUUAUACCUCUGAAGAUGCAGUAGGAAGGAAUGAAGCUACUUGAAGAAGAAGAGUACCAAGGUCCAGCACGACCGAUCAAAAUUGGUUAUUUUUAAAGUCUUUACUUCAUUCCCGUUUCACGACAACAAACAAAGAGGGACAGCUGUAAUACCCAAUUUUAGCCUGGGCGCAUGCAAAUUAAAUAAAAAAAUAAAACCAAAUAAAAUAAAAUUCAGUCCAUUGUCCAUUUACACCCAAAAUAAACCCAAGAUCUUAGCCCAAUUACAUAAAUAAUUAAAACCCAAAUAACCUAAACCCUAGCCCAACAAGCAGCCCAAUACACCCAACAUUUUCAGCAGAGAAAAAAACAAAAAACCCUAGGUAGCCGCAAGCCUAACAGCAACCAAGUGUGCUGUCGUCGCCGCCAUUUACGCGCUACACCUACACGUUGACUGGCCACGUACCUGCAAUUCAGCAAAUAAGGAAGCAAACAGCAAAAAGAAAGGGACUAAUAGAAAAAUGGAAGGAAAGAAAUAUUAUUAUUAUUUAUAUAUCUAUUUUCCUUUUCGUUUUGGCUAUAAAAAGCCAAUUAAAAUCUGUAACAGGGGGAAGACCCGCAUAUUGUAUCAAGAAAUUACAAAAAGAAAAUGAAAAGGAAAGACUGAAUUUUUUUUUCAGAUCUGAUUUUUUUUAAAGUUUUUUUUUUCUGUUGUUCUGUUCUUUUUUUUAUAUAAGUAUGAAACAAAAUAAAAAGGAGGGUGAUUUAGUUUUUUUUUUUUUUGAGUUUUCUUCUUUCUGUUUCGAUCUCUAUUUCAUGUCUUUGAAAUAAUAGUAAGAGAGGGGAGGAGUUGUUUACCUUUUGAUCGGCGGCGUCGUUGUGCUGUGUGGGAGAUGUUUGUAAACGGCGCAGAGAAAGGAAAUGAGCUAUUAAGUUUUUUCUCCUUUGCUUUCUAAUGGCCGAAUGAUUAAGGUUUUUUUAGAUUUAUGAUAAUUUUUAAAACAACACCGUUUGGACUUUAUGCCAAGGCUCAAUGGCUUAUUUGCACUUUUGGUCCUCCUGUUUUACAAUGUUUUUAAAUUACUUUUUUUAUUUCUUGUAAAUUUCGCAACGCAUUUUAUUAUUGUUUCAAUUUAGUCCAAUGUUGUGCAGUGUUUUGGGAGGCUUGGGUAAAUUGCUCCUUCGGUCCUCCUCCUGUUGCG
rnacentral:lncRNA from 1 species